UAGCAUAUCAAUAAGCGGAGGAAAAGAAACCAACAGGGAUUGCCCUAGUAACGGCGAGUGAAGCGGCAACAGCUCAAAUUUGAAAUCUGGCUUCGGCCCGAGUUGUAAUUUGUAGAGGAUGCUUUUGGCGCGGUGCCUUCUGAGUUCCCUGGAACGGGACGCCAUAGAGGGUGAGAGCCCCGUAUAGUUGGACACCAAGCCUUUGUAAAGCUCCUUCGACGAGUCGAGUAGUUUGGGAAUGCUGCUCAAAAUGGGAGGUAAAUUUCUUCUAAAGCUAAAUACCGGCCAGAGACCGAUAGCGCACAAGUAGAGUGAUCGAAAGAUGAAAAGCACUUUGAAAAGAGGGUUAAAUAGCACGUGAAAUUGUUAAAAGGGAAGCGCUUAUGACCAGACUUGUUCCAGGUUGAUCAUCCAGUGUUCUCACUGGUGCACUCUGCCUGGAUCAGGCCAGCGUCGAUUUUCGUAGGGGGAUAAAGGCAUUGGGAAUGUAGCUCCUCCGGGAGUGUUAUAGCCCUUUGUAUAAUACCCUUGUGGGGAUCGAGGUACGCGCUCUGCAAGGACGCUGGCGUAAUGGUCAUCAGCGACCCGUCUUGAAACACGGACCAAGGAGUCGAGGUUUUGCGCGAGUGUUUGGGUGUUAAACCCGCACGCGUAAUGAAAGUGAACGUAGGUGAGAGCUUCGGCGCAUCAUCGACCGAUCCUGAUGUAUUCGGAUGGAUUUGAGUAAGAGCGUAUAGCCUCGGACCCGAAAGAUGGUGAACUAUGCCUGUAUAGGGUGAAGCCAGAGGAAACUCUGGUGGAGGCUCGCAGCGGUUCUGACGUGCAAAUCGAUCGUCAAAUAUGGGCAUGGGGGCGAAAGACUAAUCGA
rnacentral:rRNA from 1 species